CCUACGGGGGGCUGCAGUGGGGAAUAUUGGACAAUGGGGGCAACCCUGAUCCAGCCAUGCCGCGUGUGUGAAGAAGGCCCUCGGGUUGUAAAGCACUUUCAGUGAGGAAGAACGCCUGGUGGUUAAUACCCAUCAGGAAAGACAUCACUCACAGAAGAAGCACCGGCUAACUCCGUGCCAGCAGCCGCGGUAAUACGGAGGGUGCGAGCGUUAAUCGGAAUUACUGGGCGUAAAGCGCGCGUAGGUGGCUUGAUAAGCCGGUUGUGAAAGCCCCGGGCUCAACCUGGGAACGGCAUCCGGAACUGUCAAGCUAGAGUGCAGGAGAGGAAGGUAGAAUUCCCGGUGUAGCGGUGAAAUGCGUAGAGAUCGGGAGGAAUACCAGUGGCGAAGGCGGCCUUCUGGACUGACACUGACACUGAGGUGCGAAAGCGUGGGUAGCAAACAGGAUUAAAUACCCGGGUAGUC
rnacentral:rRNA from 1 species